GCUUUUGUGACUCGUCCCCACCAACCUCGUCGCUUUUGUGACAACGACAUGAAGUCGAUAGUGAAAAGGGAUCCAGCUUGCACGUGACCAUCUCUUCACGUGAGGGAAUUCCAUCCACUUGUUAGAAACGUUCACCCACUCACUUCGGAGGUUGGGGUGUAUCACUUCUAGGUCCUAUCGAUUAAAUUUCGAAUUUUCCUCGUCAAAAAGAUGAAAGCAUUUUAAUUAUAAAAUUUUUAAAGUCUGAUAUUCAAUAAGUUUAUUAAAUCAACAGAAAGAUAUGCUGUAUUUCGGACCAUUUCACAGCCGGAUUAUAACGAAAAAGGGUCAUGUUUUUUUUUGUACACGUAAACAAGUUUGAUCCGAAAAUAUUCGUUAGAAUUACCAAGAAACGAGUAGGAUGUUUAUUUUAGUCACCUGCGCUUUAUAAAUCCUAUCCGAUAACUUCUUAUCCACAUUUUAACUCCCUUAAUCACUUAGUGGCAUGUUUGAAUCACACAAACUCGUCGGAAGUGUUUAAACAAUGAAAGAGUUCGUACUACCAUUCUAGGAAGAAUGAUUAAAGGAAUCGAUGAUGUUUAUUGCUAAACGUGACGAUCAUUUCCGCAAAGAUUUACGUCAAACUCCUCCACUUCUUCCACUGUAGCGUGUGGGUCGAAGUAUCUACCCACAUCAUUUAUCCUUUCGUUCAAAUCUCUUGUUUACCAAAAAGACCAGCGAAAGGCCACCACUACUUACAAGGAAACAUGGCAAAUCUAUAGGGAGAGUCGCUGAUAAUGUAUCGAACACAUCCCGUACAUUUGGACUGGUAAAUAGGCGGUUAUUCACAUCCUGUACGGUAAUGACGUCACCGGAGUUUAUUGGAAUGAGAUAUUUUGCGAAGCUCGACUCUCCCUAAUUUGCCGUCUUUUUUUUUUUUGUCGACGAAUCGUAGUCUUUGUUCGAAAUUUUCGUGUCUUUAAUUUAAUCAAAUUUCAAUAAUUUUCGUUGGAAUAUUUAAUUUUAUUUAACCUUUUGUAAGUCGCAUCUCCGCAGUAACGUCGUGUUAUCGAUAUUAAACGAUUGUCCUUUUUUUUAAAAAAAAAAAUCUUUAUUAUGUUUGCACUGUUAAAAAAACAGUGCGAGGAACGUUAAAUUCCAUUUUAAAAUGUUGGACAAAUUAAUUUUCAUAAACGCUUAAAGGUGCGCACGGACCAUCUUACGCUGAUUUUUCCCAAUAAAAAUGGAGCCUUGACGUAUUAAAAAUCAUCCCAUUUGAUAGGAAAAUUGUAUCAGAUAUUGCUUAAGAUUUCUGAUACGCGAUACCAUAGCAUAAAUCGAUAUUAGAAUCCAAAUUUUUGGUCAUCAUCCUUAAAAUAUACCGCAAUUAACCUCACGAAAUUUACAGGGGAAGAGGUAACAAAUUUAAAUGUUUAUUUUUGACACCGUACAGUUAAUUUAUAUCAAAAGUAAAAUGUAUUUAUAUAUAAUAUAAUAUAUAAUUCGUCACCAGGGAUGAGGAGUCGAUCCGCAGCGAUACUGCAUCACCCCUACGAGUGCUAUAUCCCGCAUCUAUAAGUGUAUGGGUAUUAGAUACGACGCCAAUACUGUAUAUAUAUAUUUAAAAGUAAAAAAAAAUAAAAUAAAAACUUCGGUAAUUAGUUUUUAUACAUUUAUAUCAGUAGGUUUGAUGACAGACGGUUUGCAAUUUGGUAAGGUACGAAGCGGAGUGCGAAUGUACAAAUUGAUUUUUUCUAGGGUGGCGUCUAAUACGUACUUCGCCCUAGUUGAACGUCUGGACGGUAGAUGGCGCUGGUAGGGGGGAAAUCGGCGCCACACUGCCAGUCUGCAGCAGACAUUCCUGCUGUCUAGGCGAGGGUAAAUUUUCUGAUGCGUCAUCACUCGCCGCCGACACCGUUCGGGUUGUGUACACCGACUACGCAGUUACGACCCCCGACUCCGUUCGGGUUGUUGCUAGUGUACAGAACGUGCGUACAUUCGUAUAUCUACGGGCGGAAGUCGAGCUGCUGUUAUUUUUUUCCUUUUUUUUUAAAAAUAUCUUCUACUCUUUAAGAGCCGGAGGGAUGAUUUGUGUGACGUCUUCUCUGUAAGAUACAGUUGCGUCUACCUGUUCAUUCAGCCGUCGAUGUUUUGCAGGACCACCCGGCGUUAGUUGCGCAAUCUUCCACGGGGAAAAAUCGCCAAUAUUCCAUGUUUUGUCGCCGCUUCUCUACAGACGUCAAAGAAAGAUUCGCUCUUUCGUCGAUGGCACAACGGGAAUGGUAGGGGGUCCGAGAUGGCUCCCUUCUCAUUGGUCCGAACACGCUGACCACGCUUUGCCGACAGCCAAUAGAAAGCGUAGAAGUUACGUCCGGUCGCAGUUUUUCCCAGAAGUUAAACGUUAGUAAAGAAAUAAUACAAUUUGACUGAAUGAAGUCGUCGAGUAGGGAGUUGUAUCGUCAUUCCUUCUCCUGUUAACUGGAUGGUUUGUACCCCACUCUUAACAAGGAAACCUAAUACAGCUUCUACCGUCUUACGUCGAAGUCGGAGGUAUUCCCCCUGUUCCGUAGAGACGCGAUGCAGACAGUUAAUGUGACGUCACGAAUCGAUACACCAUCCGGGUCACCGGCGCGAGGUGGAAGACUCCAAGUUUCCGUUAUUGCAGGAACAAUCCGUCGCCGUCGGAAGAUUUUUGUAUGGAUACAGUAGCAGAGGCAAAGGAAAAAGAGGAUUAUCGGUCGGAAGACGUUGGCGUUGAAUACCUGGAAUGUGCUUCUGACUCACUUCGUUACAUCCUCCUCCACCCACCAUUGGGGAAUGCCCGAAGUUCUCACGUGCUGCAUCAGGUGCUUGUGACUGGGCUGUCGAAGUCAGGUACCUGAAGUAGUGCGCGGAGAAAUUCGGGUCUGUGACCACCUUUCCUUCUCCGAAUUCCGCUUCGUCGGGGUGAGUAUUAACUAGAUUUUUUCCACGUUACGAUGCGAAAUUCGAUACUUAUUUUUAUGCAAUUACUAAAUUAAUUGAUUUAAUAUUCUUAGUACUUUUAUUAUCUUUGAUUUUUAUAUAAGUCUCUUAAGCUUUGAUUUCUCUUUAUUUAAAUCCCCCCUCUUUUGGUGAAAUAUUACCGUAGAGAUUUUUUUAGCGAAUCCCCUUCCUUAAAAACUCGAUCGAAUGAUCAAAAUUCUGUUAAAUGAAUAUAGUUUAAUCGCCUGUUAAUAGUGGUUAUUUAAGGGAGACGACCGUUUAAGAGAAGAAUAAGAAGGGGGAAAAAAAACAGCGAGUGGUGCGGAUUAUAUUCGCAUCAUCCCCGUUAUUCGGUUACACAGGCGGCCGCCGAUAUACACAAACAGAAAGUCUGACGGGACAUAAAUAAACGUUUGAGGUGUGGCAUUGCCUGUCUGGGUCUCACAACCCGAGUCUAACCUGAAUACUGUACUUGUACCGUCCUCUGACUCAUACACCCCGACACACGUCAUUUGCGAGUGCCCACGCGUUUGUUGCGUGUUUCCGGGACACUUUGGGUUGCGUGUCGACUCGCGACGCCAGCCAGUCACCAUCGGGACAGAAGCGAUUCGUGUCUUUGUGCUUGUUCUUCUUAACCAGGUGUUCCGUUUUGAGGGAUGUGCGGCGGUGAGUCUUUUAUCUGCCUGUCUGGCAGAAAUCUUAGAGUAAUCGCGGAUUAUAGAACUAAUAUAACCUUCUCGAGGUUUCCCCCUUUCCAGUGCGAUUCAUUCUUCUCUUUCGAGGGGGGUAACGACACGAUGUUGUCCCAAUUUUCCGGCGUCGGAUGUUGCAAUUGUUCGAAGUGUUGCGCACGUCAGAGAAGACGUGAACCCGGCGAAUAAUGAGGCAAUUUAAAAACUAUAAAUCAUGACAAGUAAUAAAUAUUCAUUCAUAAUUUUUGCUAAUUACUUUUUAUGGGAGUGCUCGGUGGUUUGACCCUUUUUUUAUUAUUAUUCUUUUGGAGGAAUCGUGGUCGUAUCUUCUUUUUGGUUGUUGGAAAUCCGGCUUUUGUGUCGAAUUUUGGAGAUUCGAGUGGAUAAAAUCGAUUAAAAUCCUUCGCAGAUUUGUCAAAAUGGAUACGUCGACUCGUUAAACCAUAACUAGGGAUUUUGGGGUUUUCGGGGUGUGUUUUAUUGCCGGUUCCUUCUGUUAGCCAUCUCCAAGCGAAAUUAAUGCGAUGAUAGUGCCGGGUUGAAGAAUUUAGUACUCUGAAUGUUCACGAAGGUGAUAUGUCUGUUAACCGGAAAUCCGGAUGUCGGGCAUUAUCUACUUUUAGACAAUAGAUCACAGUUUCUUAUAAGAAAUUGCUCAGAGCUAUUCUGGAAUUGUGGCCUAUAUAGCGAGUCAGAUCCUGUCUUGUGUACUGUACACUGUCCAGACCAGACAUUCCCAACAGUCUAGCUGCAGUUCUAUUACUGCGGUGUCAUUGACCGCUCGUGUGUCGGGUUACCGUACUCGCACCGAAUAUCUGGAGUUGUUGCUGCGGCAGUAACGUCUUACAAUGUCUGAAUGACAGUGCGUCGGGAUUUAGCACGCUAAAACGUCCGUAAAAAGCGCAGAGUCGGUACGAGACAAUUUAAAACCCCCGUAUAAAAUGUGUAUUUAUAAAACUCUCGUUGUAUCUAUUGUGCCUGACCUACUAGCAAAGUGGCAGCUCAAAAUCCCCUCUUUUUUUCCUUUUUCUUUUUUACUUUUUUUUUUCUUUUUACCCGCAUUUAUCCGCACGUAGGGGGAAAAACAGGUGUUCUCGAGUACAGAAAUGCGCCGGUUCCUCUCUAACCUUUUUCAAGGUCACCGACCAGUCUGUUAUGAUUGGUUUUAAAUAGGCACGUGCUAAAGCCGGAUGUCGGAGGGUACCACUUCCGGUCGGUUGCCCCAUUAAAGGCAGCUGCGUUGGGAUGACGUCAACCAACACGUGCGAACUCGUGUUAGAACAAUUUGGAGGAAGGGGAGGAGGGGAAUAAAGAAUCGGGAAAAAAAAACGGGGACGUCUCCGAAGGCUAUAACCAAAUCUUCACCCGAUUGCACACAACAGGUGUUCGCGUGGCACUGCCAAUUUCUUCUCCUCCUCUCCGAAAGAGGGGUGUAAAUUAUCCGGCAGAAUACCCCCACAGGUUAGGUUGCGUCUGUGGCUUUCACUUCUUCCGAUAAAUAUACCUGUUUGAUUGCCUCCCCCGUCUGUCUGGGAAGUUUCCUCCUCUCGAUCCUACCUGUCUGUCCCAACGAUGAAUGGAGAGAUUAGAUAGCUUUUUAUAACUCUAAUAACUUAUUCUAUUUAUAGCUCAUCAUUUCUAGAGCGGUAGAGGCGCCGUUCCACGCUUUAAUUCUCCUCCCCCCUUUGAUAGGGAGAUUCGUGGGUUUCGGCACGUCACAGAGACGAAACUACAUAAUGGCCCGUCUGAUUGUCUGUGCGGUUCGGUAUGAUUGUCACCUUCGCCCGCCACCAGUUCUUUGUACUUCAUUAGGUGCUCUGGUGUGUGGGAUCCAGGCAUCUCAUGGAGUGCAAAUGAUAGGUGGUUGAUUUACAACGUUGGAUUAUCGAUCAAAUUUGCAUCUUACUCGUUAGUACCGACCGCAUUACCCGCUGUCUAAUGCAUGAUACAAUAGUGUAGAAGUAGAUCUCGGUCGGAUGCAAAAAGACGUUGAGUGCCCUUAAUAAUAGGGAAUUUCCAACGCGUUAUUAGUUAAAUAUAUAUAUAUUUAUAUAUUGUACUUCAUUUUCUCUUUACGCCAGUAAGUAAAAUUUAUUUUUAAGGUUACAUUUUUUUUCGCCUAUUAAGUGAGGUUUUUCGUAAUCUUACUACAAAGCAGCUUAUGUAAAUCUAGCGUACUGCGUGUAUAUGUAUGUGUAUAUAUAAUCAUGUUUAUAAAAUACAAAAUUAAAUUUUCUUACCUAAUAAUGCGGUUUUUCUGAGCAAUUUUUUAUCGCGUUACUCUCGCUUGGUGGUACUCACGUGGUGACAGUUUUAUACCCUUCAACUGAUGGUUUUCUAUCACGAUGCUUGCCUCUGAGGCUCGUUUUGGUAGUUUUGUUCUUCGAUAUCGUCGUCAGUGGAUUUGUACAAUACCUGCACAUAAACCGUACUAAUUUAGGGGAGGGAAAAGAUGCUUCUGUUAAGAUUCUACACAGCCCAACGCUACUUUAAACUCUAAUAAAUUAAAAAGAUAGUUAAUGUCUUGCGAUUACGAUUGACUGUUUCGAAUUGACUGAAUCUAAAAAUCCUCAAGAUUGUCUUUCAUUCACUCUGUGACGUCCUUGACUUCAUCCCACGAUACUAGAGAAUAUUAAUUUAGUCUCCGUCUACGUAGAAUUUUUAAACAAAUCUUCGUGUGCCAUUUAAACAUUACGUGUUCGACUAAUGAUAAACGUAGACAAGUAUAGACUCCUCUUUAGUCAUAGCAGAAGGAAUUCUUUUAUUUUUAUUUUUUUUUAUAAGUUGUGUAAAUCUACGUGCGACAAGGUCGUAUUUAAUCACGUGAUCGAAAUAUCGAUAUUAUAAAACUAUUUUUGUACUAGAUGGUGUCAUAAGGUCACCGAAUCUGUAAUCCUCGAAUAUGUUAUUGUAUAUAUAAUGUCAUGGCUGAUUUACAUGUAUUUUGGAAAGGGGAACACGACUAGUUCGUUGCCACAUGGGUUUCAACAUUCGCAGAAAGAGGUUGUGCAACGUUGAGUCAUUCCUCGAAAUUUUCUCAUGAAAAUAGUGAUUGCUCGGAAAAAAAGUACACUUUUAACAUCUUUUAUGACCUUCUGUAGGAGGAAUUGUAAUUGUAUAAAUAUAUCUUUUGUUCGAGGUAUUUUACCAAAAACAAAAAAUUUAAUUUAAAAAGAGAACCAAACUUUGAAAGAUUUUUUUUUGAAUAUCUUUGUAUUUAGAAGUGGCACAAUUAAUUUAUUAUAUACAAUGAGAAAGUCAUACAAUUCUCGAAAGGCUUCUAGGUUGUGCGGUUUUUAUAACUGGAUUUCACAAACUUGUUUACUUUUUUAGGUGAAGACUUAUUAUUAAUUUCAAGCUAAUUGCGUUAAGUAAUAAAAUAUUGCAGGUGUUUUUACAAAUAAAUAAACUUUGCACACCCUGAGACUCCCUUGAACUAUAAAUGCCAAAUUGACUAAUGUUAGCUCUGGAUGACUUAAAUAAUCGGAAUGUUGUCAUAAAUUGUGUUUAAGCUCUCGACUUUUAACUGGAAACGAGUCAUACGUCGAUGUAGCACCUGAUAAGAAGUUAAGAAACAAACCGCUUGUUUGACAAUAUAAAUAGACAGUUUGAAGUAAAAUGAGAUUUAAAAUGGUCUUUUUACUUAUCUUUCGUGUAUUAUAUUCGUGUUUUCUUGUGCUUUCAACAUUUAUAUUUUCGAAUUAAAAACCUUAAAAUCUAUUGUCUACGUUCAUCCUUACACAAAUUAACCUGUAUCUAAAGUAGAUUAUAAUAUUAAAUAAUCUCUCUCGAUUUCUCUCCGGGGUUGUACCUUUUCGGACUGGCCAAACCAGAAACGUUUUCUUUAAUUGGUCUUCCAAAAUAGUUUAAGUAAACGGCAGUUGAUGAUGUAAGGAAUUCAAUUUAUGUGAGGUGUGAAAUAUCGUCCCACAAAUUUUCGGAAGCGGGUGGCGAUGUGGGUGCCGAAGAGAAGAAUUCCUGCCAAAUUCUUUAGCCUACCUACAAACUGUUCUUUCUCUACUUCGCCCACAUAAAUAAUGCGGGCGAUUUACAUAACGAGUCAUCGCUGGUAUCAUCCGAAGGUCGUACAGUAGGCUCCACUUAAUACAAUAAAUUGCAACUC